GAUAUAUUAAUUCAGUUGGUUAGAAUGUCAUGUUAAUAACUUGAAAGUCACAAGUUUGAAUCCUGCAUGGAUCA
rfam:Glycine max cultivar Williams 82 chromosome 2, whole genome shotgun sequence.